UGGGGAAUAUUGCACAAUGGGCGAAAGCCUGAUGCAGCAACGCCGCGUGAGUGAUGAAGGUCUUCGGAUUGUAAAGCUCUGUCUUUUGGGACGAUAAUGACGGUACCAAAGGAGGAAGCCACGGCUAACUACGUGCCAGCAGCCGCGGUAAUACGUAGGUGGCGAGCGUUGUCCGGAUUUACUGGGCGUAAAGGGUGCGUAGGCGGAUGUUUAAGUGAGAUGUGAAAUACCCGGGCUUAACUUGGGUGCUGCAUUUCAAACUGGAUAUCUAGAGUGCAGGAGAGGAGAAUGGAAUUCCUAGUGUAGCGGUGAAAUGCGUAGAGAUUAGGAAGAACACCAGUGGCGAAGGCGAUUCUCUGGACUGUAACUGACGCUGAGGCACGAAAAGCGUGGGUAGCAAAACAG
rnacentral:rRNA from 1 species